AUUGAACGCUGGCGGAAUGCUUUACACAUGCAAGUCGAACGGCAGCACGGACUUCGGUCUGGUGGCGAGUGGCGAACGGGUGAGUAAUGUAUCGGAACGUGCCCAGUCGUGGGGGAUAACGUAGUGAAAAUUACGCUAAUACCGCAUACGAUCUAUGGAUGAACGCGGGGGAUCGCAAGACCUCGCGCGAUUGGAGCGGCCGAUAUCCGAUUAGGUAGUUGGUGGGGUAAAGGCCCACCAAGCCAACGAUCUGUAGCUGGUAGGAGAGGACGACCAGCCACACUGGAACUGAGACACGGUCAAGACUCCUACGGGAGGCAGCAGUGGGGAAUUUUGGAAAAGGGGCGAAAGCCUGAUCCAGCCAUUCCGCGUGCAGGAUGAAGGCCCUCGGGUUGUAAACUGCUUUUGUACAGAACGAAAAGGUUUCUACUAAUACUAGGAGCUCAUGACGGUACUGUAAGAAUAAGCACCGGCUAACUACGUGCCAGCCGCCGCAGUAA
rnacentral:rRNA from 1 species